rnacentral:rRNA from 1 species
CCGUAAACAUUGAUAGAUUAAUACAACCCCUAUCCGCCCGGGAACUACGAGCACCAGCUUAAAACCCAAAGGACUUGGCGGUGCUUUAGAUCCUACUAGAGGAGCCUGUUCUAGAACCGAUAACCCCCGUUCAACCUCACCUUUCCUUGUUUUUCCCGCCUAUAUACCGCCGUCGUCAGCCCACCCUAUGAAGGACUAAAAGUAGGCUAAAUUGGCACAGCCCAGAACGUCAGGCCGAGGUGUAGCGUAUGGAAGGGGAAGAAAUGGGCUACAUUCCCUAUAUUAGGGCACACGAAUGGUGUGCUGAAACGCACAUCUUGAAGGAGGAUUUAGCAGUAAGCAGGAAGUAGAGCGUUCUGCUGAAACUGGCUC